GAUGAAGAACGUAGCGAAAUGCGAUACGUAAUGUGAAUUGCAGAAUUCAGUGAAUCAUCGAAUCUUUGAACGCACAUUGCGCCCGCCAGCACUCUGGCGGGCAUGCCUGUCCGAGCGUCAUUGCUGCCCUUCAAGCCCGGCUUGUGUGUUGGGUCGUCGUCCCCCCCGGGGGACGGGCCCGAAAGGCAGCGGCGGCACCGCGUCCGGUCCUCGAGCGUAUGGGGCUUUGUCACCCGCUCGAUUAGGGCCGGCCGGGCGCCAGCCGGCGUCUCCAACCUUCUAUUUUACCAGGUUGACCUCGGAUCAGGUAGGGAUACCCGCUGAACUUAAGCAUAUCAAUAAGCGGAGGA
rnacentral:misc_RNA from 1 species